GCGUUAAUCGGAAUUACUGGGCGUAAAGCGUGCGCAGGCGGUUAUGUAAGACAGAUGUGAAAUCCCCGGGCUCAACCUGGGAACUGCGUUUGUGACUGCAUAACUAGAGUACGGCAGAGGGAGGUGGAAUUCCACGUGUAGCAGUGAAAUGCGUAGAGAUGUGGAGGAACACCGAUGGCGAAGGCAGCCUCCUGGGCCAGUACUGACGCUCAUGCACGAAAGCGUG
rnacentral:rRNA from 1 species